GCUGUUCGUUGGUGUUCCCACUUCAUACAAAUUAAUGCUACAACGACCGUGGGUUUUUUUUUUUCUUUUGUGGUCCCCUUGUGUCUAAGUUUUGUAUAUAUGUGUGUAUGUGUGUGUCUACAUGCACACAUUUAAAGCAGUUGCUGGCACAGUUGGCUGGAAACAUAAAUGUAAAAUGAGAAGUGUUAAUGAAAACUGGAACUUAGCCAAGAUGAAUACUCUGCUGGAUGGAGAUGGAGAUGGAAAAUGGAUCUGUAGGGUAAGAAACAGCCUGUUUAGAAAGGGAUGUAGAAAGAGCAAUAUAAUGCAAAGAAGCAGUGUAUAAAGCGGGGAAGAAAAGAGGAAACGGAAUGGCAAUGAUUAUGAACUACAAGCUAAAACAAUGCAAGGGAUUGAUAAAAGGAAACCAAAGGAUUAAUAGACUAUCAACUGCCAGUCCAGCUAAAGAAAUGCAGAAAGCAUUCCAAAAAUCCUGUUAGGAACAAUGCUGCCUGCUCUCCCAGACACAUCCCCGUGGCACUAUAGGCCAAUUGCUAAAUGCAGAUGGUAAAAUCAUAAACAGUGGUGCAAAAAAAGGCAGAAAUGUUCAAUAGCUAUUUCUCCUCUGCUUUUGGAAGGGAGCAGGAUAUUCUUCCCAUAUGAUGUUGCGGAUGGAGUAGAGCAUUUACCAUCUGGAACAAAGGAGGAUGUGAGGCAGCAUCUGCUAAAAUUAAAUGUUUUUCACAUCAUCCGGCCUGGCUAUCUUUGUGUCUUAAAGGAACCAGCUAAAGCACUUAGUGAAGUUUUAUAUUUACAAAUCUGGGGAGAUUCCAAGGACAUGGGAGAGCGCCAUGGCUGAUCUGGGACUUCACAAGCCUCAGUGGGACACUCUGGGGAGCAAUCGGCUGCUUAGCAGGACAGCAUCCUUCGACAGACUCACCAGACAUUAAUUCAGGCCUCCAACAACAAGGAAUUAGAGGCUAAAAAUAAAAGCAGCACUAAUCAGCUGGGUUUCGUGGAAGGUAAGUCUCAUUAGAUAAACCUGUUGUCUAUUUUUUCAGACAAGAUUAGAGAUCUGGUUGACACAGUACUCUUGGCUUUCUCCACCACAUGACAGCUUGAUUAAUGAGCUCACAUUAUGCAGGAUGAAUAGGGCACACACCACCUGGAUUAAGGCUUGGCUGAGUGACAGAUGUGAAAAUGUAGUUAUUGAUGGGGAAACAGCAGCAGGCCAAAAAUGUUCGACAGGGUAAAGCCAGCCACAUGGACCUCUGAGUAACUCACCCUUCUCUGUUCUACUGUAGAGGGUUUGAAAGCCCAGCAUUGCAUGUGUCCCUUGGCAAGGUCUGUCUCAUCUGUUUGCAUAGCACUGGGAUGCAUCUGCACAAUUACUUCCAUUAAUCAAGUGGAGAAGCAGGGAGGCAACGAAGGUGGGCUGAUAUUUCAGGAAGCUGUGAGAAAUGAUGGAUGAUGAGAAAUCAACUGCUGUCCUCAGGGGCAGCCUGCACACGCAAUGCCAUACUUCUGGCCUGACAAACCCACUGAGGCCAGCAAGCAAAUCAGUAGCAGAGCUGGGAAGAGAGCUCAGCAGUCACUGGCUCUGGGCCUGACCCAGGCUGACUCACUUAUCUUACACAUGUUGCAUCUUUUCCAUGCAAGGAGCAGGCACUGACAUCAGCAGAGCCCAGAACUCCUCCCACUGGCCAGGAUGGGCUCUUUAUUCCCAGCCAAAGCUCUGACUUCCACCGUCAUAUCACUGGAGCAGCACCUCAUAAAGCAAACAGACAAACACUGCUGAACAGAGCUCUGAUAGAAGGUGGAAGACACAAAUUCUUGUAUGCUCAUUUUUGCAUACAAAAAUGAUUGUAUGCAUGUAUGAUACAUGUCUGCUCUUACUUUAUCACUUCAUAGUCCCUCCUGACAACUUCACUCUUCAGGAAUUGGACUUGAUCCUUAUGGGUUCCAUCCAACUUGGGAUACUCUAUGAUUCACAGGAGGUCAAACUGUAGGUACAGUACUGUAGGAGGAAGACAGGUUUUGAAAUGUGUGGCUUAUUGUGGAUGGCCAGAUGGAUGUGAGAGUAAAGGAAACUGUCUACUCAACAUUUUCACAGAGAAAACUGCCAAGCUAGAAAGUGAAGUCCAUGGAAGUCCAGGAGGGAAAAAGAACAGGAAUGGUCAAAAACAAAGUCCUGCGGCUAUUGGAACAUCAUCAGUUCUGGCUUCUGGAGGCCCGGUGCACCACAUUACAACCACGGAAGAAUGUGUUUUUAAAGUAAUUAUUUAAAUAGUGUUAAUUAGCUCUAUAAAAAUGAAAAAGAAUUUUUUUUU